UACGGAGGGUGCUAGCGUUGUUCGGAAUCACUGGGCGUAAAGAGCUCGUAGGCGGUGUGUCACGUCGGCCGUGAAAACCUGCAGCUUAACUGUGGGCGUGCGGUCGAUACGGGCAUCACUGGAGUUCGGCAGGGGAGACUGGAAUUCCUGGUGUAGCGGUGAAAUGCGCAGAUAUCAGGAGGAACACCGGUGGCGAAGGCGGGUCUCUGGGCCGAUACUGACGCUGAGGAGCGAAAGCGUGGGGAGCAAACAGG
rnacentral:rRNA from 1 species